AUCAAGCUUAAGCACAUGUAAAUGCUUGACUCGAGCAUCAAGCAAACAUUGUAAACGGUCAACAUGCUUGGCUCAAGCAAAAAUCUACGUACUUGACAUCAAGCUGCUGGACCGCCUCGGAAGGUUUUAACGAU